rnacentral:rRNA from 1 species
UCGGCGCUAAUACCUCAUAACUGCAGCGGAUCCGCAUGGAUAUGUUGUUAAAGGUUUACCGCCUUGGGAUAGGCUUGCGUCUGAUUAGCUAGUUGGUGUGGUAACGGCACACCAAGGCUACGAUCAGUAACUGGUCUGAGAGGAUGAUCAGUCACACUGGAACUGAGACACGGUCCAGACUCCUACGGGAGGCAGCAGUGAGGAAUAUUGGGCAAUGCUCGAAAGAGUGACCCAGCAACGCCGCGUGAGGAUGAAGGUAUUCUAUAUCGUAAACUCCUGUGAGAGCAGACGAAAGACAGAUUAUUAAUCUGGAUGACUGUAUGCUCAGAGGAAGCCCCGGCUAACUACGUG